CCUACGGGCGGCAGCAGUGGGGAAUAUUGGACAAUGGGGGCAACCCUGAUCCAGCCAUGCCGCGUGUGUGAAGAAGGCCCUCGGGUUGUAAAGCACUUUCAGUGAGGAAGAACGCCUGGUGGUUAAUACCCAUCAGGAAAGACAUCACUCACAGAAGAAGCACCGGCUAACUCCGUGCCAGCAGCCGCGGUAAUACGGAGGGUGCGAGCGUUAAUCGGAAUUACUGGGCGUAAAGCGCGCGUAGGUGGCUUGAUAAGCCGGUUGUGAAAGCCCCGGGCUCAACCUGGGAACGGCAUCCGGAACUGUCAAGCUAGAGUGCAAGAGAGGAAGGUAGAAUUCCCGGGGUAGCGGUGAAAUGCGUAGAGAUCGGGAGGAAUACCAGUGGCGAAGGCGGCCUUCUGGACUGACACUGACACUGAGGUGCGACAGCGUGGGUAGCAAACAGGAUUAGCUACCCCGGUAGUC
rnacentral:rRNA from 1 species